UACGUAGGGUGCGAGCGUUGUCCGGAAUUAUUGGGCGUAAAGAGCUCGUAGGCGGUUUGUCGCGUCUGCUGUGAAAACCCGAGGCUCAACCUCGGGCCUGCAGUGGGUACGGGCAGACUGGAGUGUGGUAGGGGAGACUGGAAUUCCUGGUGUAGCGGUGGAAUGCGCAGAUAUCAGGAGGAACACCGACGGCGAAGGCAGGUCUCUGGGCCACUACUGACGCUGAGAAGCGAAAGCAUGGGGAGCGAACAGG
rnacentral:rRNA from 1 species